rnacentral:snoRNA from 1 species
GUCCGGUGAUGAUACCAAGGCGAAUACGAGCUCACUGAAGGAGGGCUGGGUGUUUCUAGCCUUGACUGGCAGGUAAUCUUGGCAGUUCAGUGAAGGGUUGCUGUUCUGCUGUAAGGGCCUGCCUACAGUGACUUGGCCUAACCCAAAUUGUUGUUCCCUAAAUAGUUAUUAUGGCGUACUUUGGGUUAUGCUGACAGCGCGUGUGUGUCUGUGUGUGUGGUGUGCAAAGGGUCAGAAACUUACCCAGCUCUCAUAUUUAUUCAGUGAGGCAUGAGUGUGUUCUUUGGUAAUCUGAGGGCA